rnacentral:rRNA from 1 species
AUUGAACGCUGGCGGCAGGCCUAACACAUGCAAGUCGAGCGGAUGAGUGGAGCUUGCUCCAUGAUUCAGCGGCGGACGGGCGAGUAAUGCCUAGGAAUCUGCCUGGUAGUGGGGGACAACGUUUCGAAAGGAACGCUAAUACCGCAUACGUCCUACGGGAGAAAGUGGGGGAUCUUCGGACCUCACGCUAUCAGAUGAGCCUAGGUCGGAUUAGCUAGUUGGUGAGGUAAAGGCUCACCAAGGCGACGAUCCGUAACUGGUCUGAGAGGAUGAGCAGUCACACUGGAACUGAGACACGGUCCAGACUCCUACGGGAGGCAGCAGUGGGGAAUAUUGGACAAUGGGCGAAAGCCUGAUCCAGCCAUGCCGCGUGUGUGAAGAAGGUCUUCGGAUUGUAAAGCACUUUAAGUUGGGAGGAAGGGCAGUAAGUUAAUACCUUGCUGUUUUGACGUUACCAACGGAAUAAGCACCGGCUAACUUCGUGCCAGCCGCCGCCGUAACAC